rnacentral:rRNA from 1 species
UACGGGGGGAGCAAGCGUUGUUCGGAUUUACUGGGCGUAAAGGGCGCGUAGGCGGCCAGCACAAGUCAGUUGUGAAAUCUCCGAGCUUAACUCGGAAAGGUCAACUGAUACUGUGCGGCUAGAGUGCGGAAGGGGCAACUGGAAUUCUUGGUGUAGCGGUGAAAUGCGUAGAUAUCAAGAGGAACACCUGCGGCGAAGGCGGGUUGCUGGGCCGACACUGACGCUGAGGCGCGAAAGCCAGGGGGAGCGAACGGG